rnacentral:lncRNA from 10 species
CCUCCCAAAGUGCUGGGAUUACAGGCGUGAGCCACCGCGCCCAGCCUACUUUCUUGCUCAGGUUUUUCCAGUGUUGGCCACAGGGAGCCCUUUCUGCCGGCCUCCGGGGUCUGUUCACAGCUGCCUCUUUGGGCACAGCCUGGUUUUCUGGCACUGCAGGACACCCAGGCUCAUCUGUGCGUUCCCUGCUCCAGUCCUAGACCCAUUUCUCCAAGGACCCCUGGUUCCUUUUACUGGAGGGUGGGAUUAGAAGCCAAGAUCUGGGUGCCGCUGUGUUUAUGCAAAUGAAUAUCUCAAGAUAUGUGAUGCCAGUCGGAUCACCCCUACUCCCUCAGGGCAGAAUGCGGAGAACUGAGCACCUGGAAAGACAUCGAGGUCGCCCACUGCCUGUGCCUGGAAGUCCUGGGCUUGCCCCUCUUGGAGGAAGUCAGGGUUCCGCCCUUUCGUCGCUUUUUAAGAAUCCGUGCAUGUGGCAGUGGAGGCAGCGAAUGCUCAGCACGGAGAGGGCCGUGGUUGGAGCUCUUCGCCUGAGUCGUUUCAUUUGACAGCUGUGAGGAUGACACAAAACAAGGAACGGGAAGACACCAGGAGGGUACAGAGUCAUUUGCCGAGGGACAUAUGUCUUGGAGGAGUUCC